rnacentral:rRNA from 1 species
UACAGAGGAGCCAAGCGUUGUCCGGAUUGACUGGGCGUAAAGCGCACGCAGGCGGCCGUGCACGUGGGGUGUGAAAGCUGGCGGCUUAACUGCCAGACGCCACCUCAUACGGCACGGCUCGAGCCCGUGAGAGGUCCACGGAAUUGCCGGUGUAGUGGUGAAAUGCGUAGAGAUCGGCAGGAACACCCAGGGGGAAACCAGUGGACUGGCACGGUGCUGACGCUCAGGUGCGAAAGCGUGGGGAGCGAACCGG